rnacentral:sRNA from 1 species
CACUAACACUAGUGUCUGCCAGACAAAGUCAUCACUGUGCUGUAACUUUUGCUUGUUACAUUACAAGUCUGCAAAUACAAGUACCACACAAUUAACGUCCCCCAACGAGUGUGUACUAGGAGAACCAGAUUUAAGUCCACAGCUGUGUACUAGCUGUAGUAUCUGCCAGACACAGCCAUUGAUGUGCUGUAAAUAUUGUUCUUCCCGAGACACUUCUGCAAGCCAUCUCUCUAUAUACACUAUUUGGAUAUAUUGUUUUUGUAUUGCGUUCUUUCUUUAUAUUAAAACAAAUGUCUAUUAGGUAGAUAAAGUACAAAUGUCUAUUAGGUAGAUAAAGUAUAAAUGUCUAUUAGGUAGCUAAAGUACAAGACU